GCAUCCAGAAAAUGUGUGCAUUUGCCACUUGCAUUUGCAAAGCCUAAGUCCUUCAUCAGUGUAAUCUUGCCUGGACUCCUAGCAGCUCCAGUGCUCCUUCAGUGAACUCCUGGCUCAGUUAAAACCAAUGAUGAGGUUCAGUUUGGACAGCAGCCAAUCCAUUAAUGCAGGAAACUGGUCAGCUGGUACGUAAUAUUUGCUAGUCCCUGCAAGAUUUAUGCUCCUCUAAAACACUCCCCAUACAU